GUGAGGAAUAUUGGACAAUGGAGGAAACUCUGAUCCAGCCAUGCCGCGUGAGUGAUGAAGGCCUUCGGGUUGUAAAGCUCUUUCGGGUGUGAAAAUGAUGAUGGUAACACCAGAAGAAGCCCCGGCUAACUCCGUGCCAGCAGCCGCGGUAAUACGGAGGGGGCGAGCGUUGUUCGGAAUCACUGGGCGUAAAGCGUGCGUAGGCGGUUAUACAAGUCAGGAGUGAAAUCCCAGGGCUCAACAUUGGAAUUGAUUUUGAGACUGUAUGACUAGAGAUCUAGAGAGGUUGGGAGAAUUCCGAGUGUAGAGGUGAAAUUCGCAGAUAUUCGGAGGAACACCAGUGGCGUAGGCGCCCAACUGGCUAGAUACUGACGCUGAGGCACGAAAGCGUGGGGAGCAAACAGGAUUAGAUACCCCUGUAGUCC
rnacentral:rRNA from 1 species